CAAAUAUCUAAUAAUGGGUUCUUCCAUCUAACAGAGAAAGGUAGAACAUGAUCUGAUGGCUUGAAGUUGAAGCUAGACAAAUUGAGACAUGAAAUAAGGCAUACAUUUAUAACAUCCCAUAUCGGCUGCUGUAUGGAUAGGCUGUCCUGCCUUGGGUGGAAUCAGACAGUCUCAGAUGCUGUAGUUGACUUGCUUUGCAGUGGCUGACUCACAAAAAAACAAAAAAAGAGCACAACAGAAAGGAGAAAAACAAGAGUAAAUACAGAGGACAGGAAAAAAUUAACACCAUUAAUUUAAUCCUUGCAUGUUAGUGCACUUAUUGAACCAGACACACAAUAAAAAAUCAGCAC